GGCGUUCCGCCCGUGAUCUUUUGCGAUCGUUCGGUGGUGCACCAAGCUUCUGUGUCCCCUCCGCCUUCUCCUCCUCAACGAGCUCAGCGCACUUCACCCUGUACGCUGAUUCACGUGGCCAGGCCCCCUCUCUCUCCCCCGGUGUCGCGAGUUCUCGCGUCCAAGACAGGAGGACACAAACCAAUGAGAGCAAAGCAGAAAAGAAGCUUGACUUGAAAAAAUGGGUCGACGUCGUAAUCAGGCGCUGACACGUUCUGUCGCACAGACUCUCACGUGCGCACACCGGUGGUAUGCGCACGAUCCCCAUUAACGAAGAAAAAAAAGGAGAAAAUAUGAAGCGGUGAGUCGACGUCAUGCCUCCGCAGUUGACAGUGUUACUCUCAGCGCACGCAGGCACGUGUGUCUGUCGGCCUGCUCUCUCUCUUGCGAGAGAGGCGCGCUCUCACCUUGCCGUUCAUGGGGACACCCCUCCGGGCCAACGCCGACGAUGCACUGUAAGCAUCGACUCUACUCCGCUUUUUCAUUAUGGUUUACGUUUCGUCUUUUUUGUUUCUGAAACGGGUAUUGCACAUCCGCGCCCACCCCUUCCGCCCUCUCGCUCUCGGCCCACUCAUCUCCCCGACUGAACGGACGGCAUCCUGCGCAUGGCCGCCGUGACCAUGGAUACACGCACGCACGCGCUUCUGUGCGCUCCACUUUGCGGCGGAAACCUCACGUGCUUUCGACCAG
rnacentral:misc_RNA from 1 species